ensembl:lncRNA
GUUGUUAGUAGCUUGCAAAGCCAGAUAUUAUGACACUCAUCUCAGUUGUGCUGAGUCCAAAAGCUGUUUAUAGUGGUAACACUCCCCUGCUCAGAUCCCUCACUCCUCCAGGGAAGGCUGCAUACCUUAGGAUUCAUCUGGGCUGGCUGUGAAGUCCUGUAGCUUGAAGGUGACUUUUUUCUUUCUGGAAGGGAAUUUCUGCCUCUUUCAUUUCAGUCAGCAUUGGCCCUUGUUGUAGGGGCUCUUUUUAUCCAGUUUUCACUUCUCUCGCAGGGGUAAGUAUUCCAAGAAUAGUUGUAAAUUUAUUGUGUCCAUGGGAGGAGGUGAGUUCAGAGUCCACAUACACCACUAUCUUGACACUGUCUUUCCCCACAUCUGUAUUUAAAUCUCCCUCAGAAGCGAUCUGAGGAGGAGAGAGAGAGCGAGGCUUCUCCCUUCCUCUUGCCAUCUGAUCUACUCUCAGUGCCUCCUGUUGGCCUGACAUGGCCAGAAUCCACUGUCACUGGAGCCUGGGAAACAAAGCCUGCAGAGUCAGCCCCCUGAGACAGAAAUCAGAGGAGGGGAAGGUAAAGAAGGGAACUGAAGGCAGAAGGCCCAGGCCUGGGAAAAAGAUACAGACAUACUUGCAUCUUGGUAAUUUCCAUUUAAACAAAACAGAUAACAAAUAUUUUUGUGACUUGGAAUGGGCAACAUCUUGUCUGAUGUGGUUACUUAAAUUUAACAUGUAAUCAAGAACCACCACCCUGCGUGUUAGAACCCAGGGCAUCGAUCAGGCCACAUAUUACCAAAGACAGAUAACUGCACGUGAAGGAGCUCGUGCUCUGACUCCCUCUCCCUUUCCUCUUUCUGGGCGAUCUCUGAGUCAAAGAGUCCUAUUCAGUUUUUUACUGGAGGUAUUUUUAUCCUGCAUGCUUUUGGUUGAGCUGUGUUCCCCCAAAAGAUCUUGAAGUUCCAACCCCCAGGACCUGUGGAUGUGACCUUAUUUGGAAAUACUGUCUUUGCAGAUGAUCAAAUUAGGAUGAGAUAAUUAGGGUGGACCCUAAUCUAAUACAACUGGUGUCCUUAUAAAAAGAGGAAAUUUGGAUAUAGACUCAGACACACACACACACACACACAGGGAAGAUACCUUGUGAACAUCAAGGCAGAGAUCAGAAUGAUACAUCUGUAAGCCAGAAAAUUCCAAAGAUUGCCAGCAAACCACCAGAGACUAGAGGAGAGGCAUGGAACAGUCUCCCGCUCAGCCUCAGAAGGAACCAACCUGGCCAACGCCUUGAUUUCCAACUUCUAGCUCAAGAAGUGGGAGAGAAUACAUUUCUGUGGGUUAACCCAUUCAGUUUGUAGUACUUUGUUGUGACAGCCCUAGCAAACUAAUGCACCACGUUAGAGGUGGAUGUUGGGUACCCAGUCAUCUGUUGACAGAGUGGUGCUUGGGCUCCAAGACUGGAAGUGGUGCAGUGAAGAAGUGGAAGGAGAGGAGGUGUGACUUGCACACCUAUUCUUUCUUCUUCACAGUGCUGCAUAGGAACAGCUCGGCAUCGAGUUGGCCGUUUCCUCUUCCUCCUCUGCCUUCCCUGGUGGCAGGCCUGCAUUUGGCCAUUGCUGACAAUGGCACCAGUGGCAGGGAAAGCCGAUGGCCAGCUCUCUUUGUGAUGGUGUUAAGGACCGGCCUCUGCAGCUGGUCAAGGUCUGGGAGCAGGGGUUUCCUACACGAGCAAGCUUGGCCUCCAACCUUAGGCCUCAGGUUUACCAAGCCUGUCAUUGGAUAGAGGGCAGAGUAAAGAAAACAAUAAGCUGCUGGUAUGACAGUCAAUGUUCCACCUUCUGUUCCUGGGACAAUGUUCCAUCACUCUUGAACAUAGCAAAAAAAAAAAAAAAAAAAAAAAAAAAUACAUUGCUAUUCUAGUUUGUUAGUUGGUUUAUUUGAUUCUUGUAUCUAUAGAAUGCCAUCUACUAAAGCCAAAGGAAAGGUCAGCUUUUAGGUUUCAGGUUUAUAUUGGCCAAGUUUCUCAUACAUAAUAUGUUGAGGAUUAAUUAUAUACCUCUCAGAAGGUUACUCAUCAAAUACUGAAGAUUAGCAUCACGUACCUCAGGAGAUGACGCCUAACUGGAAGUACGUGAUGUUGCAUCAUGUGGCAGAUAUAGGACAAUCCUAUCCCCAGAGAACUGACCUGUGUGGAAUUUGGCCUUGGGAUCAAAUAUAUUGCUGACAUACGCUGUGUGUUAUUUCUUACUUGUAAUUGCACAAUGCUCUGUUGCUGUUAACUCUGCACAUUUUGGCCUAUGGCGAUUUGAGAGGAAGUAGAACUUUAACCUCCAAGUACUGAGAUGUGAAAUGUGUGUCACUGACGUCAGGGAAGGUGACAGGACAAAGGCUCUGGGGUCUUGGACUAAGGAAUAAGAAGUGGAGCCUAGAGCUUUACGAAAACCCUAUUUACUUUCAUGACCAUUUACAGAGAACUAACUCAAUGGGCUCCCUAUAAUUAAUAAUGACUAUCUCUUUUGUUUUCUCUGCAAAAGUAAGAAAGGGAGUAAUUUUCAAAUGUUGUCAGUCUUCAUAUCUUUUAUGCAAAUGAAAAUGUUUCUCUUUUUCUUUGCCUAGAGUGUCCUGGGUGUACUUUCUUUUUGGAACCCUCCACCCCAUUAUUUCUGGUCUCACACGUGGAAUGGAUGCAGGGAGGGUAACAUCAGCCUUUUGAGUUCACAGACCUUAUCACCAGGUGUAGAUGGAGCACAGUUAGAUGCCCUGUCCUGCUUCCCUCGCGCUGCGCCUGUGCCCCAGGAGGAGCAUUGAGCCCUGGGACAAAUAUGUCAUCUCCUGGUGGAGUAUCAGCUUUGCUAAGGUCUUGGGGAAAUAAUAUAAUUUUUAUAUUAAAACACCCAAAUUUAUUGUAGAGCAGAAUAUGUAAUCUGUAUGAUUUUAAAACAUAGAAUAAAAUUGUGCCUAGCUGCUGUUUUCAAAAUGUAAGCAGUAAAAUGUAGUAUUUAGAGUGAAAUCUCUGGACUCAGGCGAACCACUUAAAACCUUGCGAAACCCUGGGCUAGUGACUUACCCUCCUGCCCCCUCAGUCUCCUCCUCUAUAACAUGGGCCUAAUAAUCGUAUCCCUCACAGAGUUGGUGCGAACAUUGACGGUGCUGAGCUUGAUGUCUGGCACAUAACGAACACACAAACAUCAGCUAUGGUGCUGCUCAUGAGGACCCGCUCAGAGCCUGGGAGGACGUUGUGAAGACACGUAGCGGGCUGAGAAGACAGGAAGUUGAACAGUUUUUACUGCUUCAUCACAGACAUGCUAGUGUGAACCUUUCUUCCCUUCUUACUGUGCCUGUGGAGGUACAGACCACGAUGACCACCAGUAAGUUGGGGCCACUGCCUCGAUGCACGGAAGGCCCCACGCUGCUACUCCGCUUUGCUUUCACCCCGUCGGGGCAACAGCGGUACAACCAGGAGGCGAAUAAGGUGUCAGGCUUCUGCUGAGACUGGUCUCGACCGCUCCUUGAAAGUGUUUGGGAGACAGCCAGAGGUGGC